AGGGCUGUAGCUCAGUUAGGUAGAGCACCUCGUUUAGGUCUACGGUUCGAGUCCGUAUAGCCCUA
rnacentral:tRNA from 11 species